rnacentral:tRNA from 1 species
AAGGGUAUAGCUCAGCGGUAGGAUGUGUGCCUAGCACGUAUGAGGUCCUGGGUUCAAUCCUCAGUACCUUGA